GCGCCCCCUUUGUUUCAAGCUGUGCACGCCCACCCGCUGCGUGGGACCUUAAAAACCCCCUGCUCCAGAGCUCGGGGCUCCUGGCUCGGAUCCGUUGCAACGGAGUCCCCUGGGAGCCAAGUUCAAACUUGCAAUAAAUGGCCCUUUUGCUUUUGCAUCAGACUCGGCUCCCUGGUGAUCUUUGUGGGGGAUUUCGAGAUCUGUGCACAACAUUUAGUGCAUUGGCUGGGAAGUCCCUCAAGACACCCUGAGGACCCCGACCCGCAGGGCCGCUACAUGGGGCCACGCGAGAAAAAAAGCCAAGCGAGCGCAUGGGGUGGGUGGCGACGUUGGCCACCCACCCGACCCGUCUUGAAACACAGACCAAGAAGUCUAACACGUGCGUGAGUCAGGGACUCGCAUGAAAGCCACGGCAGGGGAUUGUCCCCCGGCCGGCGACCGGCCACCACCGGGCGCAUUUCCACUGGCUCCAGGACGGCUGAAAAGGCCCAGCGGGGAAGGUAGCUGGGGGCCCCCCUGCCCUUCGUGGGGCGGGCCUGCCUCCCAAGUGUUACAGCCCCCAGACAGCAGCACUGGCGGAAUCCCAAGGGACAUGAUGAUGGCACUGGUUAUUUUACCAAGGCUUUGGCUGGAACAGCAAUUCCAGAGGUGUCCAGACUGCAUUAAAGAAUUCAGGUUGACUUUAUAAGGCCAAUUAAGAAAAGCCCUUUGGAAAACUGGCCAGAUACCCAUCAGUAACAUUUCCUGAUCUGUGGUAAGUAACAAAGGUCCGGAAAUCAAAAUGUGCUUGGGAACCUCAAGAGAAGAGGGAUUUACCCAAUGCAUACAGGUAUCUAACAGCACAGAUGAAACCUGGGCUCUGAAAGGCUUUCAAAAAGUCCAGCCUGAGAUUCCUUAUAAAAGGUUCCAGCAAAGCCAAAUUUAAAAGAAAAAGAGCCUAAAUGGCUAAUAAUUAAUUAUUCUUACUGCACUUUAUGCAAAUAAUCAGACCCUGUAUAUUAAAGGUACAGUUUAUUUUGGCAAAUAAGUUAGUUCUACUAUAAUUUGCCUUUAGUAAAGAGAGAAAUAAGAGAGAGAGAAACAGUUUAAAAGGAGGAAAAAGAGGCCGUGGUCUGGUCCACCUGUAUUUAGAUCCCAGCCUUGUCUGUACUCAUAAAAUGAGACAUAACUGUUUUACUAAGUUGAUCUAUUAAAUGAGACUAAGAGACUGGCCAAAAAGUAUAGAAUUAUAUGUAAUAGUUAUAUUUACUCUGAAACCUUAAGACUCAACAAAGGUCACCUGUUGGCUACACUGGAAAACUUGUGCAGUAUUAAAUGUUAUCUAAAAUUUCCCAGAAAAUAAUGUAACUGUAAACACUGCAUUCUACUCUGCUGAAUCUGUUGCCAGCAGAAGCCAAAUGGCCCACUUGUCUGAACUUAGAAGAGGCCUUUUUCAGUAUAAGGCUGGCUCUGGGAAGCCAGAAGCUGUUUGCAUUCCAGUGAGAGAGACCAGACAUAGAAACAGUACACAUGGACCAGGUUGCCACAGGGGUUCAAAACACCUACAAUUUUUGAAAAAACGCUGGCUCGUGACCUCCAGAAAUUCCUGGCUGAGGAAUCAGAAUGUGUGCUGUUCCAAUAUGUCGAUGACCUCCUUUCAGGACACCCUACCCAGGAAGGCUGCGCCUGAGGCAUGGACUGUCUUUUAUGACAUCUAGAGAUAUGUGGCUAUAAAGUGUCUAAGUGGAAGGCCCAGGUCUGCCAGCAGCAAGUACAUUAUCUAAGAUUUACUAUUCAGCAAGGGGAAAAAAAUCUAGGCAUGGAACGAAGGCAGGUCAUUAAUCGCCUCCCCACCUCCAAGAGCCGAAAGCAGGUUCGGGAAUUCGUAGGCCCAGUCGGCUUCUGUCGUCUUUAGAUCCCCAACUUUGCCGUCUUAGCUAAGCCCUUGUAUGAGGCAACUAAAAGAGAAGAGGGAGAGCCCUUGGAGUGGGAAGGAAAAUAGGAACAUGCCUUCUCCCAGCUAAAGAUGAGGCUGAUGGCUGCACCUGCAUUGGGACUGCCAAACUUGACCAAGCCCUUUACUCUGUAUGUCUCAGAGAGAGAUAAAAUGGCUGUGGGUGUGUUAACCCAGCUGAUUAAGUCCUGGCCAAGGCCUGUAGCCUACCUCUCUAAGCAGUUAGAUAAAGUGGCAAAAGGAUGGCCACCCUGUUUACGGGCUCUAGCUGCUACUGCUCUCCUUGUGCAAGAAAAUAAUAAGCUGACUCUGGGCAGGAUCUCAGAGUGAAAGUACCCCACUCUGUGGUCAAUUUAAUGGACACUAAGGGACAUUUUUGGCUCUCUAAUGCGACACUCUGAACCAAGCCAUGCUCCUUCCAGUCAGUGGAAGAGAGACUGAGCAUAACUGUACAGAAAUUAUGGAUAAUGUAUACUCUAGCAGACCUGACUUGCGUGACCAACCCUGGACAGAUGCAGACUAGAACUUGUAUGUAGAUGGAAGCAGUUACAUGACCGCGCAAGGUGAGCGGUGGGCUGGGUAUGCAGUGGUCACCUUAACAGAGACUGUGGAGGGUAAGCCCCUCCUUCAAGGGACAUUGACUCAGAAGGCUGAGUUAAUUGCCUGAGUUAACUAAAUCAAGGGGAAAAUUUGAAUGCUUUUCUGACUCUUCAAAUACACAGGACAUUGUACAAGGAGAAGGGACUAUUAAAUUCUGAAAGAAAAAAAAAGGACAUUAAAUAUCAGCAGGAGAUAACUUCCGUUGUUAGAGGCAGUAUGGAAACCCCAGAAAGUGGCUGUUAUGCACUGUCAUGGACAUCAAAGAAAUGCUUCCACCAUCGCUAAAGGGAACACCAGAGCCAAUACUGAGGCAAAAAGGGCUGCCUCCCAGCCAUACCAGGUGUCACCAGUGGCUCCCCUCAUCCCUUGGGUCCCAAAGCUCACCCCUAUCUACUCCCGGAAGGAGAAGGAAUGGUUAGCAGCAGAGGGGAACCAGGAAGCAGAGGGAGGAUGAACGAAAAUGCCAGAUGCACGAGUAGCAGUUCCCCAGAUUCUAAGAGCCACCGUAGUGACAGGAGUGUUUGAUGAAGUUGCUGGGCCAGUACUUCUACAUCUCCUACCUGGCAGCCCUGGCCAAAACUGUCAGUCUACAGUGUGUCACCUGCAGGCAGUUCAACGUGUGCCAAGGACCAAUGGUACCACCAGGAAUUCAGUUGUAUGGAGCAACACCCUUCGAAAACUUCCAGAUCAAGGGACCAAAUUUAGGUCUGGAAUCAGAACAUGGUCCCCCUCAAACCAAGGUAAAAAAGACUUUACACCAUCAUCUUGACCACACGCACGGCAGUAAAGAUGAAAAUAAAUCUUCACCUGGAGUCAUCACAGCUAGCUGAAUAAAGCUUCACUGCCCCUUGAGAAGUAAAGGUAACUUUUAAGACAUCCAACAUGCCCUGCUCCAGCCACAUACUGGGAGCUGGUUGGUCAACACACGGCUGAAGCCUGAGGAAACUCCUCGAGGAACUUGCCUUAAUUGAACUUUGGACUUUAAAAAAAAAAAAAAGAGGUUUGUGCGCUGCUCUAAGUGAAAAAUGCUGUUUUUACACUGAUCACUCAGGAAUAAUGAAAGAAUCAAUGGUCCUUGUGCGGGAGAGCUUGCACAAGCGUAAAGUAGAAAGAGGAAAUAAUCAGAGCUGGUCUCUGAUGGCUAACAACUCUGAUAUCAGCCCUGGCUGGUCCCCUAGUGUUAUUACUUCUACUCCUGACUGUGGGCCCUUGCAUUAUCAAUAGGCUCAUCACUUUUGUACAGGACCGUGUAAGAGCCGUACAACUUCUGGUCUUAAAAGGCCAAUAUCGGCCCCUUUCAUACAGAAAGCUAGAGCUGACACACACGGUACCGGACCCAUGAUUGGGUCCUUGAAUUUACAAGUAGAGGGGGGAAUGAAAGAACCAGACCAGCGCCACUUAAAAGUUAAGUUUCGCUCCCCCUGCCAUUUCACUCAGUAAGUUUACUUUCCAGACAAGCCCAGGCAAGCCUAGGCAAUUCCCCGAAAUCAUGAGACAACCGCCCACCAAUCAGGGACCCCCCACCUAACCAAUCCAGAAGCACCCCCUUUGUUUCAAGCUGUGCACACCCACCCGCUGAGCGGGACCAGAAGAACCCCCUGCUCCAGAGCUCAGGGUUCCUGGCUCAGACCCCUUGCAACGGAUUCCCCCGGGAGCCCAAGUUCGAACUUGCUUUUGCAUCGGACUCGGCUCCCUGGUGGUCUUUGUGGGGGAUUUCGAGAUCUGGGCACAACAGGAUACCAUGGAGGGGCGCGGUCUUCCCUGAGGCCCAGGGUAUAACUGCGGGCGGCGGAAGACUUAGGUCGGGAGAAAGAGAAUAUCCUGAGGACCCAGCGGCUCCGGUGGUGGUGGCCUGGCCAGCCUCCUGGGCGCUGAGGUGGCCGGGAAGGAUCAGAGGGAGAGAGGCCUGAAAGGAAGAGUACACCACGUAAUAGGUGGGAGGAGAAUGACAGGGGAUUGGCACAGGUCUCGAAUGUGGGAAAGUCGUGCCCGAGGUCCUGGACAUCAGCGGUCCGCCCCUUAGGCGACAGCUCACCACCCAGUAGGGAAAGAAACUCCCAGAAAGGCAGCGAGAGCAAGAGCGGCACCGACUGCACCUGGCCCGACAGGCAGGCCCGGAACCCGCCAAUCCUGGGCCAACCCCGCCCCGCGCUGCGUAUUUCCGGUGGCGCUGGGACGUCCAGCUGCUGUUGCUAUAGUUGCGAGGGCGGGACUCCGGUGGCUUUUGUUCAGGGUACGGUUCGUUGGGGCGGGUUCGCUGGGACCCUUCUGGCCAGUCCCGGUCCAUUAUCUGGUCUUCACCUUCAUCCCGCUGGGCUUCCCUAGCUCUCCCCAGCCAAGAUCUUCAGGACUAGACCGAAAACUGGCCGAGUAGUUGGAUUUUCCUCUGAGGCUGAUGGCGCUUGAGUCUCCAGCCUGCAGAUGGCAGUGUUGUACCGUGGGGGGGGGCCAUCCUUGCCACCCCCGCCCUUCGUGCUUGAAAAAACUCUGCGGUGUCGUUUCAGAGAGAAAAGGCCUUUUUGUCCUCAUUUCUGGGCCGGUUGAGUCCUGCAUUUUGACAGGUCGCCCUCGGAAGGGGGUGGGGGCGGGCGGGAGGUGGGUCCCUGGCUAAAAUUCAGCGCCAGAGCACAAAGGCCUUUUGCUUUUCAAACUGGCUUUCCCGCCCACCCCCACCCCCACCCCCACCCCCGCGGUCUCUUAGCAACCUUUAUUCUGCUUCUCUGAAUGGUCUUGUCGUUCUUUUCCCCAGCUUGUGGGGGUGGAGGGGGGUGGGGUUGGGGGGAGGGAGGGUGUUAUGGGCCUUUAUCAAUAUAGUCUUUCAUUAUGGACGUCAUUCAACCUCAUUGUAGGAAAUUUGGUGCAUAGAUAAAGUAUAAUGAAGAAAACUAAUCUGAUCUACGGCCCCACACCCAGAGGUGACCAUUAAUUAUAUUUUGUGUUGAAUUUCCUUGGAGCGUUUUGCGUCCAAAAGGUGCAUUGUAUAAGUGAUGAGAUUCGCGUUUGCAUGAUUGCUUUUAAUUUUCUUAAACUACUCUUAAUUAGGGUAUUACUCUCUCCCAAGAAUUAUUUGAAAAAGAGUUGAAAAUAUUUUAUUCUUUUUUGUUCUGUAGUCCAGUUGGGUAAGAAUUUGUUGUCUUCUUCAAACAAUAUGUAAUUUAUACAGGUAAUAAAAAUUCUUUAAUGAUUGAGAUAGAAAUCAGAAUUACCGUUCUCUAUGUGAAAGGUUUAUUUCAUAGGGUAGUUUUUCUAAGUAUAGGAGGUACAUUUUUUUCUUCACCAUUGUAUUUUUAGCACACCAUCAGAACAUGUCUUGUCAAUAUAGAUAUUUGUUUGCAUAAAAGUACAAGUAAUUGAUUUUUUUCCAGGUGUUUUUCUUUCUAUAUGUUUCAUUUAACAAUACUUCAUAUUGUUUGAUCAGUUUUCUACAUGGCUUAUUUUAUCUUUCCAUUUAGUAGUUUAGUGUGUAAUGACUGUUAAUUACCAUUAAAAAAUUUUUAUGUUGGCCCGGUGCCCAUAGCUCUUUUUCAUACCCUGUUCAUCAUUUAUAUUUUAUAUUAAAAUAAUUUUCUUAUUGAUUUUAAUAAUUGUCUAUGCAAAAAUUAAUUUUUUUUGAGACAGUCUCACUCUGUCAUCCUGGGUAGAGUACCAUGGCAUCAUACUCACAGCAACCUCAAACUCUUGGGCUUGAGCAGUCUUCUUGCCACAGCCUCCCAAGUAGCUGAGACUACAGGUGCCCACCACAAUGCCAGCUAGGUUUUCUAUUUUAAGUGGAGAUGGGGGGGCGGGUGUCUCAUUCUUGCUCAGGCAGGUCUUAAACUCCUGAGUUCAAGCGAACCACCAACCUUGGCUAGGAUUACAGGCGUGAUCCACUUUUAUGUACAUUGCAAAUACUCUGUUUUUUUUUUUUUUCUUUUUCAUUAUGUUUGUGGUUUUCAGAUGCAUAGAUAAUGUCAUUUUUAUAUAACCAAAUCUGUCAGUCUUUUUUUGCAUUGCUUCACUCUUUGGUACAAAGCUGAAAUGGUCUUCCUGAUCUACCUGUCCUGUUUCUUGUGUUUAUCCCUAUUCUUUGUUUUUCCAGUCUUCUGUCUGAACUCCCCACUAAAAUGCCUUAAAGACACACAACAAAUUAAAUUUCACAAUAUCUAGGUAGUUGGGAUUGUCCCUAAACUACCUGGCAGAAUCUCAGAGGAUUUUCUACUUCGUAUAAGACUGAUUCUCCUAGGACCCUAAAAUGUAUUUGUUCCUAUGACUAUGGACUUGAAAUUUAAAACACUUAGAUGGUCUCUUAUAAUCUUAUCACCGAAUUUAGGUUUCAGCUUUCUCUUACCAGAAACGUUCCACUACACAUUCUGAUCAAUAAGUCACGCAGGCAUGAACAUUUUAAAACUCCAUUUGUAAAGGCAGAGAUGGAAGUUGUGGAAAGAGAUCUCUUCUUCAGAAUGGAUGGGAAAGAGUAAGAGUUCUUGGGGAGGGGCAGGUUAAGAGAUGAUUUUGCUAUCAAAAAUGAGGAGAGGGUGUGGAUUAGAGUAGUACCUUCCAUAUACCAGAAUUGUUCUACCAUUUCCACACUAAAGGCCAUUUCAAUUUUGCACAGAAGACCUGCAUGAAAUCCACUUAAUUUUCUCUGUCUUCUAGCAACCGUAUUUCUUUGUCCCCACAGAGAGGGAGGACUGCUCCUUAAAUCCUGUCUAGUGGGUAUGGGAGUUUAUAAAACCUGCUGAGAUAUUUUCAUAUAUUCACUCAAUUAUUUUUCCCUUAGCUACAAAGGUAAUUCUUUUCUAUUGUAGUCAUUUUGGAAUACAAAGAAAAGAACAAAGAAAAAAGUAGUCAUCCUUAACCCAAGUACUCACAGACAACCAUUUUCAACAUGUUUUGCUGAUCACCUUCAUUUUUACAGAUGUGGUAUUUGAGAUAGUACAGUAUCCAGUAUUGAAUUCUGAAUUUUUUCCUUGACAUUAGGUAAUUAGCAUAUUUUUUUAUUUUUUAAGACAGGCAUGGAACAAGGUUUAUUGAUGAAGAGAAAGAGAGGUUUACAGAGUAAGAAAGUUUACAAAGCAAGAUACAUUCAUCACAGACAGCAAACAGGCUGCUAUUGCCAGGGCAGGUAAGACAAAGAGACAAGGGUUAUGGCCAGUGCUUCUUUUUUAUACUGACUGGGUCAGGCCUGCCACAUGGUUCAGAGGUGAAGUCACCUUGAAACCUAGCCUAUUUUCUUAAAAUUCAAAUUUCCCAAUACUCUAGCAUAGGUAUCUUUCAUAAUAUAUUUAACAAUUCCUACAUUGUUUUGAAAUAUAAAAAAUAAUCCUACCACAAACUUUUUGAAUGAAUCAUUGCCCACAUUUUAGAUAACUUCCUUGCAUGGAUUCUUACAAGUUGACAUAUUGCCAAAUUCCUUUGACCAAGAACAUAUUCAAGCAUUUGCAUCAUUAUAUCCUGAGAUUUUGCAACUGCUUGCUAAGUUGAGGUAAAAAAAAAAUAUGUUUUUGAUGUAAAAUAAUAUUUUUAAUUAUUUGUGAAAUUCAAUAUCCUUUUAUACAUUUAAUAUGCACACAUUUAUUUUUAUAUCUUCCUCAUAUAAAAUGGAUUUACAAGAAUUCAUAAAAGAAGAUCUAGUUAGUCUUCAAUGAAUACUUGAGAAAAUUGGAAAAAGGUGAACAGAGAAUUAUACAAAAUGAAGCUAGAUAGAAGUAAAGUUAAUUCACUAAAUACUGCCUCCUUCCCUUUUUUUUCCUUCCCACAUUUUCUGCUCCCCCCAACCUUGACACAUCACAAUGAUUAGAAAAACAGUUCUCAAAGGACCAUUCUGACAGCUACAGGCAUGAGACUGUACCACAAAUAUAAGCAAGAGGCAAGAAAAAGUGGAAUAAAUUGCCAACCUCUCUAACUGCAAAUGUUGCAGCAGUUACAGAUAAAGAAAACUGCAUCCUGGACAGACCACAGUCAUAUACCCCUUCUAUGUAAACUCUAAUUCUGCUUUAGCUUGGGAGUUACAUGGUCUCAAGUUGCUCCUUAAUGCACAUCGUUGAAUACAAUCUUUAACCUGUAUUUGAGUCGCUUUAUUUUUUUCCCCUGACAAUAUGGUGCCUUGGCUUGGAUAGGUCUGAACAAAGCACAUAGACUCCAUUUUGGGGGACCACUGUCAGGUGGAAAGGCAAGUUCUUCUCCUGAUCAUAUGCUAUGGGGUCUCUUUGUAGCCUGAAGUUUGCAGACUUUGAUUCUUAGAAACUAGUUAACUUACUGCCUGACAAUCAUCUUUAGGGUUUCUAUGGCCCAGUGGAGAAUUAGAUGAUGGUUCUAAGAUAGGACAAUCUCCUACUUCUACCACUAGAAACUUUCUUCUUUUUUUUUUUUUUUUGUUAAAUCAUAGCUGUGUACAUUAGUGCAAUCAAGGGGUACAAUGUGCUGGUUUUAUAUACAAUCUGAAAUAUUCUCAUCAAACUGUUCAACGUAGCCUUCAUGGCAUUUUCUUAGUUAUUGUAUGUAGACAUUUGUAUUCUGCCUUUAGUAAGUUUCGCCUGUACCCAUUCUAAGAGGCACCAUAGGUGUGGCCCCACCCAUUAACCUCCCUCCACCCUAACCUCCCCCUCCCUUCCCCUUCCUUGGCCCUUUUGUGCUAUAGUUGGGUUAUAUAUCCUUCAUGUGAAAGCUAUAAUUUAGCUUUACAGUAGGGCUGAAUACAUUGGAUACUUUUUCUUCCAUUCCUGAGAUACUUUGCUAAGAAGAAUAUGUUCCAGCUCCAUCCAUGUAUAGAAACUUUCAAUGUACCUGAGAGAGGAUACCCGAAAAGGUUGAGAUCUAGAACAGGUCUUCUCCAGGAGACCACAAGGAUACACCUGCAGGGUCCUCUCCUUGGUGACACAGCUCUUGGGAAUUUGUAAACUUAACUUCCUGAAACUUGGAAAUUUCCAAGUUCUGUGAAAUCCUGUAGUUCUGUAGGGGCUGGAAUAGCAUCUCCCGCUAGAUUCAAACUGACCAAUGAGAAGGGUACCUAUGGAUUGGAACUUUUUGACUGUCGAUAAAAAGGGAAAGACCAAGCCAGUUAGGGAGCAUGGCCAUUUGGAAUUCUUUUAUGCCAUAAGCUCCUGGUUGGUGAAUAAAGCCCUUCCUCUUAUAAACGUGGUUUUUGGGUGCUCUUUCUCUCCAUUGGGCCUCGUCUUCCUGCAACAUACCCAAUCAGGGGGGACCCCCACUCUGGGCAAAUGUUUGGCCACUAGGGUCCUGUUCAACUUCUAUUUAAUUGGAGUGACUUCAGGAAAGACUAUCUUGAAUCUUGACAGAGUCCCUUUGAGGCUUUGGGGACAUGACAAAACUUGUCAAUUGGCUUUGCCCCUUAGACCAAAAAGAAUGUAAAAAUAACUUGCUCUCUUCCAUAGGCAGUGGCAGCAAUUGCUUAUUUGGCAUCGUGGGUGCCCUCAGACCCCUUGUGAAGCCCAAGAUUAUCAAAAAGAGAACCAAGAAGUUCAUCUAGCACCAAUAUGUCAAAAUGAAGCUUAACUGCAGGAAACCCAGGGGCUCCUAUUGUCAAUAGACAAUAGGGUUUGGAGAAGAUUCAAGAGCCAGAUCUUGAUGCCCAACAUUGGUUAUAGGAUCAACAAGAAAACAAAGCAUAUGCUGCCCAGUGGUUUCUUAAAGUUCCUUGUCCACAAUGUCAAGGAGCUAGAAGUACUGCUGAUGUGCAACAAAUCUUGCUGUGCAGAGACUGCUCGUGUUUCCUCCAAGAACUGCAAAGUCCUUGUGGAAAGAGCUGGCCAUCAGAGUCACCAAUCCCAAUGCAGGCUGUGCAGGAAAGAAAAUGAAUAGACCAUUCAUAUGCAUAUUUUACUGGUAUUUAAAUAAAACUAUAAAACUGCAAUAAAAUUAAAUAAAAAUAACUAACUUAAAAAAUAGCUAGUUGGGCGGCGCCUGUGGCUCAAGGAGUAGGGCGCCGGUCCCACAUGCCAGAGGUGGUAGGUUCAAACCUAGCCCCGGCCAAAAAAAAAAAUAGCUAACUUAUAAUAGGCUACUUUCUUGACUUUCAUUAAUUGGUAGACAGAAAUCUGGAACCCUCCAAGAAAAGAAACAAUCCAGGCAGAUUUAAACCUGGGGAGGUCUCUUUGAAACAACAUCAGCCUUCUCCCUACAACAAACUCUUCUCCUCAGUCUAACUCUGCUUCUGCCUCUUACAACCCUUGAAGCACAUCAGCUGGAUAAAGCCUUUAAAUUCUAUCUGAAUCACUUUAAUAGUACUUUUUCUGACAAGUUCUACCAACAAUUUGAUCCCAAUUUCCUAGCAGCCAAUGAAAGGGUUUACAUGUAGAUGACCACUUGCAUAACCAUAGUCCCCAUCAGGCCAAAACUAAGUAGCAGUUUUCUCACCAAGAUUUCUAUGAUGAAUGAGGAGAAUAGUACAUGUAAAGGUCUUAGUAAAGUAUCUGAUGCAUAGUAUAUAUUCAAUACAUUUUAGCCAUAUGAUUUUGACAAAUAUUUAUAAGACUAUAGUAGCCAGGGCGGCGCCUGUGGCUCAAGGAGUAGGGUGCCGGUCCCAUAUGCCGGAGGUGGUGGGUUCAAACCCAGCCCUGGCCAAAAAUCACAAAAAAAAAAAAAAAAAAAAAAAAGACUAUAGUAGCCAAAACAGUGUGGUGCUGGCAUAAAGACAGAAACAGACCAACAAAUAUUCAACAAAAUAGAGCCUCAAAAUAAACUCUUACAUAUAUCAUUAAAGGAUCUUUAGCAAGGGUGCCAAGACCACUCAAAAGGGAAAGAAACACACAAGAGCACAAGCUCUGAAAUCAUGUUAGAGCCAGUAAAUACUUUCCACUCCAUCUUUUAAAAUGCAAACAAAGGGUGUCUGUACCAAAAUAAUACAACCUAAGAUGCCAUUAGGAAACAAAUAUAGGAAAAUUUAUGAUUUGUUAUUUGGAAAAGCUGUAUCAAGAAAAACUUGGUAAAUUGAAAAAAAGGACUCAGAUUUCUAGAAAGUUUGGAUUUCAGUGAUGUUGCAGUACAUACACUUAUAAAACUAGGAAGGGUGCAGGCUAGUCUAUUUUAAUACGACAGUGAAAAUAUAUUACCAUAAAAAAGAUAAAAUUUUUUCUUCAAAUAAUGUUUUGAUUAAGUCAAGGACUUCUAUAGUAGCUUGACAGUAUUGGGGACACAAAUUUAUUUUUUUUUUGUUUCAUAUUUUCUUUGUAUUUCUCUUCAAUAGUUGAUUGACCCAACAUCUUUCCGUCGGCUCUAUACAAUGAAAAUACAAACUAAAUGAGAAUAGAAAAAGUAAUUAAAGCAUUGAAUUGUACAAAUUACAAAUCUGUUUCAAAAUAUACUUACAUUAAAUAAAAUACGCAUUUCAUUAAGAGAUCUACAAUGGAUGACUCUAUGCAUUCUGGAAAGCUUCACAACACAUAGGCAGGGCCAACAUUUGUGGAAGAAGCUAAGAGAAUUUGCAUCCAAUCACAGUUUGUAGCGGGUUUCUUAUUGCCAAUCUGCAAGUUACACUGAACACAUCAUUAGCGUCACUAGUGCAGGAAACCAAUUUUGUUUGGGGAAAGGGUAAGCAAGCUCUAGCCUCAAUUUUGAGUUCAUUACAACUUUCAAGAAUUUCACCAACAACCUAUACAGUACAAUUUCAAAAAAGUAAACAUGUUAAGGUAAGCAGACAAUUCUUUAGAAGCCCAGACACAUAUUCUUGCUGUGUUUACAUUGAAUUCUCCAUCUACAAUGGGCAGUAAUGAAGAUGAUCUCCUUAGGACAACAUGGUCACAGGGCUGGAACAAUCCAGAGGGGCUGAGGGAGCCUAAGGAUGGGGAGCGAAGGAGCCACCUCUUGCUGCUUCACGUUGGAGACAAGCUGCGUCCAGUCCGUGGGCCUGCACGCGUCCCCUUCAUCAUCUGGCGUAGCGCUUGAUGUAGUCGUCCACUUUGUUCCUGAAGUCCUCCUUGUCCCACAGGUGAUGCUCUGCAGCCUCAAUGUUGGGUGGGUCAUCAAAAUUCAAAAGAUCAGUAAACAAAGAGUUUAAUCCCCAAACAACAUCCUUCAGUGUUCAUGUGGGAGCCCAGGCAGUGCCAUCGAUCCAGUACUCUCAGUAAACUUAGGCAAAUUUCACCUGUCUCUGUGAUAUUGGGGUGCCAGAUCCUGGUCAAGCAUUUCAACUUGGGAGGCACCAUGUUCUAUGCAUGGGGGACUUCAGUUUCAAACUGAAACUUUCCAACCUGGUAGUAACCCUCAUCUGGGCACCCGCAGACAGGCGAGGCGGCCCGGCGCCCAACACCAUGCCCGGCCCGGGGGGCGGCAGAGAGACGCGGCCACAGCCACACCGGCACCAAGCGGUGGGACCGGAAGUGGCAGGCGGGGACUCGGCCGCUCUCGCCUGCUUG